rnacentral:rRNA from 1 species
UAAUACGAAGGGUGCAAGCGUUGUUCGGAAUCAUUGGGCGUAAAGCGCGCGCAGGCGGAUUAAUAAGUCAGGUGUGAAAUCUCGGGGCUCAACCUCGAAACUGCGCCUGAAACUAUUAGUCUAGAAUGUCGGAGGGGGUAGGGGAAUUUCACGUGUAGGGGUAAAAUCCGUAGAGAUGUGAAGGAACACCGGUGGCGAAGGCGCCUACCUGGACGACUAUUGACGCUGAGGCGCGAAAGCGUGGGGAGCAAACAGG